GCGUGUAUGAUGAAAACAUAUGUUGGUAGGGACAUCUGAGUUACGCCUGAAGAAUGCCAACUUUUCUGAUCCAUACGC
ensembl:snoRNA